rnacentral:rRNA from 1 species
CUGCUCUAAUUGGUGGUAAAUCUCAUCAAAGGCUAAAUAGCGGCCGGAGACCGAUAGCGAACAAGUACCGUGAGGGAAAGAUGACAAGCACUUUGAAAAGAGGGUGAAAAGAGCCUGAAACCGUCAUGGGGGAAGCGGAUUGCGUUGGACUGGUGGGUUGUUGCGUGUUCAGCCGUUUCGGUGCAUUGACGCAACAACUUAUCCGCCGUGGGUUCUGGGUGGUCGACAUUGGACCACUCGGGGCUGAGGGCUCCCUUUUAUAGGUGAGGACGGUGGAGCGACGACGCGAUACGACCCGUCUUGAAACACGGACCAAGGAGUCUAGCGCGGGUGCGAGUCAGAGGGUGCAAGCCCGUGGGCGAAGUGAAAGCGAGUGUAAAAACGAGCAGUUUGGGGCGGCAUAAGAUCGUUGAUCUCAAGACCGACCCUGAGCAGUUGCGCUGGGACCCGAAAGAUGGUGAACUAUGCCGGAGUAGGGCAAAGCCAGAGGAAACUCUGGUGGAGGCUCGUAGCGGUGCUGACGUGCAAAUCGCUCGUCGAACUUGGGUAUAGGGGCGAAAGACUAAUCGAACCAUCUAGUAGCUGGUUCCCUCCGAAGUUUCUCUCAGGAUAGCGGGCCGACAUGUGUUGUUUUGUGCGGUAAAGCGAAUGAUUAGCGCACUCGGGGGCAGUUAGCCUUCGGGCGAUUCUCAAACUUUCAAUGCGCAAGGGUGCCGCUGCUUUGUUGAGCGGCACCGGCAAAAACGUCGGCCCUGUGGGCCACUUUUGGUAAGCA